CGCCCCCCUGGGAAUGAACCCGGCCCCGAUUCUUCGGGAGGCAGCAGUAGGGAAUCUUCCGCAAGGACGAAAUUCUGACGGAGCAACGCCGCGUGAGUGAUGAAGGUUUUCGGAUCGUAAAGCUCUGUUGUUAGGGAAGAACAAGUGCGAGAGUAACUGCUCGCACCUUGACGGUACCUAACCAGAAAGCCACGGCUAACUACGUGCCAGCAGCCGCGGUAAUACGUAGGUGGCAAGCGUUGUCCGGAAUUAUUGGGCGUAAAGGGCUCGCAGGCGGUUUCUUAAGUCUGAUGUGAAAGCCCCCGGCUCAACCGGGGAGGGUCAUUGGAAACUGGGAAACUUGAGUGCAGAAGAGGAGAGUGGAAUUCCACGUGUAGCGGUGAAAUGCGUAGAGAUGUGGAGGAACACCAGUGGCGAAGGCGACUCUCUGGUCUGUAACUGACGCUGAGGAGCGAAAGCGUGGGGAGCGAACAGGAUUAGAUACCCUGGUAGUCCACGCCGUAAACGAUGAGUGCUAAGUGUUAGGGGGUUUCCGCCCCUUAGUGCUGCAGCUAACGCAUUAAGCACUCCGCCUGGGGAGUACGGUCGCAAGACUGAAACUCAAAGGAAUUGACGGGGGCCCGCACAAGCGGUGGAGCAUGUGGUUUAAUUCGAAGCAACGCGAAGAACCUUACCAGGUCUUGACAUCCUCUGACAACCCUAGAGAUAGGGCUUUCCCUUCGGGGACAGAGUGACAGGUGGUGCAUGGUUGUCGUCAGCUCGUGUCGUGAGAUGUUGGGUUAAGUCCCGCAACGAGCGCAACCCUUGAUCUUAGUUGCCAGCAUUCAGUUGGGCACUCUAAGGUGACUGCCGGUGACAAACCGGAGGAAGGUGGGGAUGACGUCAAAUCAUCAUGCCCCUUAUGACCUGGGCUACACACGUGCUACAAUGGACAGAACAAAGGGCUGCAAGACCGCAAGGUUUAGCCAAUCCCAUAAAUCUGUUCUCAGUUCGGAUCGCAGUCUGCAACUCGACUGCGUGAAGCUGGAAUCGCUAGUAAUCGCGGAUCAGCAUGCCGCGGUGAAUACGUUCCCGGGCCUUGUACACACCGCCCGUCACACCACGAGAGUUUGCAACACCCGAAGUCGGUGAGGUAACCUUUAUGGAGCCAGCCGCCGAAGGUGUCAGAUUGUCCUUCUUCACCAUCUCUAUCGC
rnacentral:rRNA from 1 species